GAGUCCGGACAUGGUGCCCAGGCGUCCCGAUGUGACGCCGCUCGAAGGCUCGGAUGUGUGUCCUACAUUUACAGCGCACUUGGUCAUGAGACACCGCGCAAUACUACGCCACGCGCGCACGCGCUCAAUUUACUAUGACGCGCUUCACUCUCGUGAUGGCGGAUAGGUGUGAAGAUGAAAACGGGCAGAUGGAUAAGUAGGAGGGGGGAAAUAGAAAUAAAAUACCAUCAUAAAAGUAAUACAAGUAUCUAUACACAUCAUUUCAAAUACAUACACAAAU